rnacentral:rRNA from 1 species
UACGUAGGGUGCAAGCGUUGUCCGGAAUUAUUGGGCGUAAAGAGCUUGUAGGCGGUUUGUCGCGUCUGCUGUGAAAUUUCGGGGCUCAACCCCGAACUUGCAGUGGGUACGGGCAGACUAGAGUGUGGUAGGGGAGACUGGAAUUCCUGGUGUAGCGGUGAAAUGCGCAGAUAUCAGGAGGAACACCGAUGGCGAAGGCAGGUCUCUGGGCCACUACUGACGCUGAGAAGCGAAAAGCAUGGGGAGCGAACAGG